AUUAGAAACUCCUCAGUAUCCAUGUGGUUGAAUGUCGGUAAUAUUGUACUUUAAAGAUAUUUUAAAGAUGUAUUUAUUCUUGGCAGAAAGGUAUUUGUGUGUUUUUGUGUUUAAUGAGGAAAUUGUUUUUAUGUAAUGACCUGCUCUAUGAUGAAAAAGUACUAUACAUUUGGGAAAUAAGCUGACAAUCAUGUUAUUUAGACACAGGUAUUCAUUGUGAUUUUAUUGUUUUCAAAGAGUUUUUGAAAGCAUACUGUGCUGAAAAUUCACAGAGCACUUUCUUCAGAAACUUAGGACUCUCAGACCCCUUGGUCAUUGGUGUUCUGGCUUACUUAUGAAAAAAUCAGAGAGCUGAGUGGAGUCAGUCCAUUUUAAGCCCUUACAGACACAGUGCUCAGUAUUAUUGAAUGUGGGCAUCUGCAACACACACCCCCUAUUAUUUCUACCUCUUUAGGAAGACACUACUCCACUGAGACUAUGAUUUAUAGGGGGCAACACUUUUUUUCCUCUGGAAACCCAAGUUCUCUUUGACUCUUUUUGUCUAAAAGUGAUCUGGUCCGAUCUCACAAGGCCACCCAGUGAGACCCAGCACAGUAUUUGUAAAGAAGAAGGGAACCCUGGCCACUUUCACCUUGACGAGGCGGCCUGGCCUCUGACACCGCUGUGUACGAAGAGCCUUCAGGGAGGAAGAGGAGGCAGUGGGUGCCUGCCUCUCAGAUCUGAGCAGACAUCGGGAUUGUGGAGGAAUAGCUAUCUGUCUAUAUGGAUAUAUACCAGUGCUUCAGAAAUACACCCAGCCUGCUAUGCCAGUAUCUAUAGUUCAAGUUCGAAAACUCACUCUUCUGUUGUUAAAGUGUACGUGUACGUGGUGUAAGCUAAAGGGAGGCAAAUGAGAGUUCAUGAAUAAACAUUUUGAGUUUCCCUAGUGUUGAAGAAAGUCAAUGUGCCUUUUCCUUUUGACCAGGAUGAAUGAAGUCAAGUUGAGAUGAUGUUUGCAUUUCAAGGACAGACAAGUUUGCUGUUCUUGCCGCCUUUAGUGUUGUAUUAAUUGGUCCACACGCUUGCUAACAGUAACUCCCUGACAGCCACAGACUCGGGGGCCUUGGCGGAAGUUUCCCUUACAACUUGGAUUUGAUACCAGCUCGAAGGAUUCCUGAUCCAUAAGAAUUGCAGCUCAUGUGAUCAAAGCUCAGCUGCACGGUUCCUCUUACAAAGGACCUUUCCUUGCCAUCAGCCUUCCAGUGGUAUUUUAAAACAAGAAGGAAGCCAGCUAGCUCUGUGGGUCCUUUCUCAAUUUCAGUCUGAUAAAGCAUGUUGCCUAAAAUGUGAUAAACAGUCUGGUACACAGUCACAUCUCCAACCUUCAAAUUAAAUCCCUUUUCUUAUUUUAGAAAGGUAAGAGAUUCUUCCAGAUUCUCUUGCUCCCCCCAACCUUAACAGUGGGCAUCCUGGAUGGAUGGCAUCAGGUAUGGGUAGAGCCUGAAACUGUUGAAACAGGAAAACUCAGAAGAGCAGGCCCAAGAAAGACGGUGGUGAUAACAAAAUAGAAUUCACAGUGGACAGGGUUGAUGCUGGACAGAAGGUAUCCACAAGUGCUCUGUGACAGCACCAAUGUAUAAUCACUGCCAUUUUCCAAGGGGGAGUAUACUUUAAUAUGUAUUCUAAUGUGCUAUGCUAAUAUUCAGUAGCUUAUCGUUUUUCUAGUUGCAGAAUGUGGAGUUUAAUCUGUUCAAGGCUUUGAAUUGUCUACUUUCCCAUUGUGUUUGUCAAUCUGUAACUAAACUGUCAAAUAUAUUUAAUAUGUAUAUUGUGUGCUUAAAUUCCCAAGUGUUCUGCAUUGAACUGCCUUGUCCCCAAAAGCACUUUGCUUUUUUUAUGUUUUGUAAUUUUUAAAAUUAUGUAAAAACUCAAUCAAAAUAAUUACAUGCAAACUGAACUGUGAAAAACUGAUUUAGCUCUUUUCUUUGGGGUAGGGGGUUGUGGGAUUGAAACAUUGCUUAAAU
ensembl:lncRNA